GAAAACUUGGAAACUACCGUUGGAUUGAGAAAUGGACGUUCGAGAUUCGUCCACGUCACCAUGAGUUAAAAUUUAACUCUCCCAGUAAAAUUUUAACUCAUGAGUGAAUCUGCGAGUUAAAUUUUAACUUAUGGUGAUGUGGACGAAUCUCGGACGUCCAUUUCUCGAUCCAACGGUAGUUUCCAAGUUUCU
rnacentral:pre_miRNA from 1 species